GGUAUUUGAAUCAGAGUCUGAUUCCUGACCAGAAGGACAGAGGAAUGAUUUGAGCCAAAGGAUACAGCCCCUGUGCCACAGAGUUCACAGUGAAAAUAAAGGGAAAAAGAAAGACCCCCUAUAAAGCCAGGGUUAUAGAAAUAGGCUCAGAUGGGGUAUAGUGGACUUUGAUGUGUGUGUAGGAAAAUAUUAAGGUGGGAUGUGUGGAUCAGUGUCCUAGUACAUUCCCAUAGGGUGUAAGCCUGGCACUAUCAUACCUCCGGUACGUACAGAACACAUCACACAGAAAAUUAUGGGAACCACUGUUCCCAUAAGUGAGGCCAAGGGGGAUCCCCUGCUGAGAAAACCCUGUGUGCCCAGCUCUGAGCUAGCCCUGCUGUAUAUGAUUUCAUUUUAUUUACCAUAAGUUAAAUUUGGCUAUUUUAUCCCCAUUUUACAGAUAGGAACACUGAAGUUUGGAGAAGUUAACACAUUUUUAGGGUUAUGGUUUUCAGUCUAUUUUUCUCUUUUUUCCCCCCGUAUCUUCUUUCUCCUCAUCUGUCUCUAUUGUCCUUGGAGUAUGAGGUAAGCCUGGUCUCAAUCUAUUGUCCACCUGCUCCUCCAAUAAACGACUUCAGAGAGAGCUGGAACUUCAUUCUUGUCCCCAAUUUCUCCCUUUCCCUUGACCUGGAUCACUGGGGGUGCAAAUGAAGAGAUACAAGGGUGAUGGAAGUCUUAAUGCCAAUUUCACAUUAUUCCAGGAGAUGACUACACACUGUAAUCCCUUAUCUCUUGGCCUUCAUCAAUUUUGCAGGUGGUGAAGGCAUUUGUGGUCCUGGCCUCGCAGUUCCUAUCCCAUGACCCAGAACAGCUCACCAAGGAGCUGCAGCAGCAUGUGAAGUCAGUGACAGCCCCAUACAAGUACCCAAGAAAGAUAGAGUUUGUCUUGAACCUGCCCAAGACUGUCACAGGGAAAAUUCAACGAGCCAAGCUUCGAGACAAGGAGUGGAAGAUCUCCAGAAAAGCCCGUGUGCAGUGAGACGUCUAGGAGGAAUUCAUUUGUAUUCCCCUCUUCUUUCUCUUUCUUUUCCCUUUGGGCCCUUGGUCUUCCUAUGAUGACAUGAGAUUCUUUAUGAAAGAAAAUGAAUGUAAUUUUUGUCUUGCCUUGGUUAUUAGCACAAAACAUUACCAUGUUAGAUGUUGAAAGGAGAAAGGGAAGGAAUGAGAGAAAGUGAAAAGGAG
rnacentral:sRNA from 1 species